rnacentral:rRNA from 1 species
CAGCCGCCGCGGUAAUACGUAGGGUGCGAGCGUCAAUCGGAAUUACUGGGCGUAAAGCGUGCGCAGGCGGCUUUGCAAGACAGAUGUGAAAUCCCCGGGCUCAACCUGGGAACUGCAUUUGUGACUGCAAGGCUAGAGUGCGGCAGAGGGAGAUGGAAUUCCGCGUGUAGCAGUGAAAUGCGUAGAUAUGCGGAGGAACACCGAUGGCGAAGGCAGCCCCCUGGACCAAUACUGACGCUCAUGCACGAAAGCGUGGGGAGCAAACAGGAUUAGAUACCCCCGUAGUCCCUGUCUCUUAUAC